GUCUCUGUAGCUCAGUUGGAUAGAGCACUCGCCUCCUAAGCGAGGGGUCGGCAGUUCGAAUCUGCCCAGAGACG
rnacentral:tRNA from 1 species